rnacentral:rRNA from 1 species
UGGGGAAUUUUGGACAAUGGGGGCAACCCUGAUCCAGCAAUGCCGUGUGAGUGAAGAAGGCCUUCGGGUUGUAAAGCUCUUUUGUCAGGGAAGAAACGGUAGUAGCGAAUAACUAUUACUAAUGACGGUACCUGAAGAAUAAGCACCGGCUAACUACGUGCCAGCAGCCGCGGUAAUACGUAGGGUGCAAACGUUAAUCGGAAUUACUGGGCGUAAAGCGUGCGCAGGCGGUUGUGUAAGUCAGAUGUGAAAUCCCCGGGCUCAACCUGGGAAUUGCAUUUGAGACUGCACGGCUAGAGUGUGUCAGAGGGGGGUAGAAUUCCACGUGUAGCAGUGAAAUGCGUAGAUAUGUGGAGGAACACCGAUGGCGAAGGCAGCCCCCUGGGUUAACACUGACGCUCAUGCACGAAAGCGUGGGGAGCAAACAGGAUUAGAUACCCUAGUAGUCCCUGAGCGGGCUGGCAAGGCGCAU